CAGCCGCCGCGGGAAUACGAAGGGGGCUAGCGUUGUUCGGAUUUACUGGGCGUAAAGCGCACGUAGGCGGAUCGAUCAGUCAGGGGUGAAAUCCCAGAGCUCAACUCUGGAACUGCCUUUGAUACUGUCGAUCUGGAGUAUGGAAGAGGUGAGUGGAAUUCCGAGUGUAGAGGUGAAAUUCGUAGAUAUUCGGAGGAACACCAGUGGCGAAGGCGGCUCACUGGUCCAUUACUGACGCUGAGGUGCGAAAGCGUGGGGAGCAAACAGGAUUAGAUACCCCCGUAGUCCCUGUCUCUUAUAC
rnacentral:rRNA from 1 species